rnacentral:misc_RNA from 1 species
AAAGUCGUAACAAGGUAACCGUAGGUGAACCUGCGGUUGGAUCAUUAAUGAUGCUUUAAGAUUCAGUGUGAGUACAGAAGGAGAAACCUGCCUGGUUUCCCUUCUCUCCUGGAUCCCAACAUUGUACACCCAUUCUUUGUGCACCCUGUACUGUCUCUGGCAGUCGUAAGAGCGGUUUCUUGCUGCUCUUCUAGUUCAUUUGUCUUUGGCCAAAUGGAUGAAGCUGCCAACCGUAUGUAACACACAACAGCCGCCAUCUGAAUUUUAUCGACUGAAAAUUUUGAUCCAUUCAAAUACACAAAAACAACUUUUGGCAACGGAUCUCUUGGCUCUC